rnacentral:rRNA from 1 species
GAACGCUGGCGGCGUGCUUAACACAUGCAAGUCGAGCGGAAAGGCCCUUCGGGGUACUCGAGCGGCGAACGGGUGAGUAACACGUGAGUAACCUGCCCUAGGCUUUGGGAUAACCCUCGGAAACGGGGGCUAAUACCGGAUAUGACCUGCCACUGCAUGGUGGUGGGUGGAAAGUUUUUCGGCCUGGGAUGGGCUCGCGGCCUAUCAGCUUGUUGGUGGGGUGAUGGCCUACCAAGGCGACGACGGGUAGCCGGCCUGAGAGGGCGACCGGCCACACUGGGACUGAGACACGGCCCAGACUCCUACGGGAGGCAGCAGUGGGGAAUAUUGCACAAUGGGCGGAAGCCUGAUGCAGCGACGCCGCGUGAGGGAUGACGGCCUUCGGGUUGUAAACCUCUUUCAGCAGGGACGAAGCGUAAGUGACGGUACCUGCAGAAGAAGCGCCGGCCAACUACGUGCCAGCAGCCGCGGUAAGACGUAGGGCGCGAGCGUUGUCCGGAUUUAUUGGGCGUAAAGAGCUCGUAGGCGGC